AGUUUCCUAGUAACAGCAGAAGCAUGUGAGAAAGUUUCCUUAUAAUGGCAGGCUAAUGAGUGUACUGUCAUGACUGAAGGAUUACAGCUCUGAAGGGAAAGAUAUCCUGGCAGUCAGGAGCUAAGGAAUACCACAACAUCACUCUGCACAACAAACCUAACAUGAGAAAUUUGGGGGAAAACCAAUAAAGGAUGGCUGCCUCUGCUCAGGAGAGAAGCAGCAGAGAACCAAGCAGGAGGUUCCUGCCCCAUUUGAGUUCCUGUCCUGGCUUCCCUCAGUGAAGAACUCUGAAGAGAAAGUAUGAGCCAAAUAAAGCCUACCUCCCCAG
rnacentral:lncRNA from 1 species